GACGAACGCUGGCGGCGUGCUUAACACAUGCAAGUCGAACGGACAGGCCCUGCUUUUGUGGGGUGCUCGAGUGGCGAACGGGUGAGUAACACGUGAGUAACCUGCCCUUGACUUUGGGAUAACUUCAGGAAACUGGGGCUAAUACCGGAUAGGAGCUCCUGCUGCAUGGUGGGGGUUGGAAAUUUUCGGCAGUUGGGGAUGGACUCGCGGCUUAUCAGCUUGUUGGUGGGGUAGUGGCUUACCAAGGCUUUGACGGGUAGCCGGCCUGAGAGGGUGACCGGCCACAUUGGGACUGAGAGACGGACCAGACUCCUACGGGAGGCAGCAGUGGGGAAUAUUGCACAAUGGGCGGAAGCCUGAUGCAGCAACGCCGCGUGCGGGAUGACGGCCUUCGGGUUGUAAACCGCUUUCGCCUGUGACGAAGCGUGAGUGACGGUAAUGGGUAAGGAAGCACCGGCUAACUACGUG
rnacentral:rRNA from 1 species